CAGCAAAUGUACAACGUUUCGACAAGGUUUUGUCAUCAUCAACAAUAAGAGUUAUUCUCCGAAAAUAGUCUGGCCCACAGUCACACCCUCAAUGAAAGAAUAGACCAUUCCGAGCUUUCACUUGUUGUUAAACAAAUGUUUUAAGAACUCUGUUCAAUUAUGUAUCAGUUGUCGAGUGUCGGCUAAAAAUACGAAGAAUUAAUUUGGCGGAAUGCCACAGGUUCUUCAAAUGCCGAAAAAAUGAUAGGUUUCUUUUUGUGAGUGUAAAACACUUAAAAACACCAUAUAUUUUUUAGUUUUUAUGUAUACAUUAUCACGUCUAGUAAAAGACGACGAUACUGAAAAUCAACCUUCAAAAGUUAAGUUCUUAUAGAUUUCUAAAAAUUAUUUAUUAAUAUUAUAAAUAGUAGUAAUUUGGGUUAAAUAAUACAAGAAUAACUAGAUAUAGUAAGAUUGGUAAAUAAAAGUAAGACGGUUAAAGUUUUAACUUUGAAGUUGGAGUUUAGUGCUGUAAAUUUUACGAAAGCGCAAAAAUAGCCCUAGUAGUUAGUACAUGUAACGGUACUUUACUCUUGGGUAUAUUUCAACUUACUGGAGAUUUAGAAGAUCAAGAAAGUUGGUGAAACAGAAAAUUAGGACAUCAAAAAGGAUGUAUGAGAAAAGAUAAGCACAUAAAGGAUGGAAGUAUUUAAGAUGAAAGUUGAACCCUUUUCUGAUGAGGAGCAGAAUGUUUCGUUGGAUAUCAAGAAGGUGAAAAAAGUAGAAACUUUAAUACUAUCACCUAUUAGGGAAAAAAAUGUAUUGUGUAUACCUUUAACAACAAGUGAAGUUCCUUCCAUAGAAGAUACAUCUUUAAGUACUGUGUUUGAGUUUGUUAUAGUAAAAGAUGAACCGGAAGAGGAUUGUAAUAAAGAAAUUGAAAAGACUGAGAACACAUUUGCCAGAGUGAAACAUGAACAGCCUAGUGACUUACACCAAGAUGAGAUAGUUUCCAAAUUCAAUGAUAGUGGUGAUGAUGAUGUGGAUAUUUCAAAAGAUUUUGUAAAGAGUAUGAAAACGGAAACUGGGUUCCAAGAAGAGUUGCAACAGCCUGGCUCUGGGUUAGAUGGUACAUCUGGUAAAGAUGGUGUGAUGGAAUACAUGUCUAGGAAAUUGCUAUCCAGAAAGAAAGUAGAUGAUGAGAGGUAAUUGACUCCAGAGCUAAUGGCAAGAGAUGCUGGUAUAGACAACUAACCUUUUUUGGUAGAUGGUAGUGGUGAAGAAGUGCACUGCAGCAGCCCCAGAUGAUUUGCUAACCACUCUUCACUGAUCAUGCCAGAUCUCCUCUAAAAGAACUGGAAAGCCUGGAACCUUCUCGAGGCCUGGAACAACUCUGCUGUCAGGGACAACCAUACUU
rnacentral:misc_RNA from 1 species